rnacentral:rRNA from 1 species
GCAAGUCGAGCGGCAGCGCGGGGCAACCUGGCGGCGAGCGGCGAACGGGUGAGUAAUGCAUCGGAACAUGUCCAUGUCGUGGGGGAUAGCCCGGCGAAAGCCGGAUUAAUACCGCAUACGCUCGAGAGAGGAAAGCCGGGGACCGCAAGGCCUGGCGCGAUUGGGUUGGCCGAUGUCCGAUUAGCUAGUUGGUGAGGUAAAGGCUUACCAAGGCGAUGAUCGGUAGCUGGUCUGAGAGGAUGAUCAGCCACACUGGGACUGAGACACGGCCCAGACUCCUACGGGAGGCAGCAGUGGGGAAUUUUGGACAAUGGGGGCAACCCUGAUCCAGCCAUUCCGCGUGAGUGAAGAAGGCCUUCGGGUUGUAAAGCUCUUUUGUCCGGAGCGAAACGGUGCUGGUGAAUAUCCAGCGCUACUGACGGUACCGGAAGAAUAAGCACCGGCUAACUACGUGCCAGCAGCCGCGGUAAUACGUAGGGUGCGAGCGUUAAUCGGAAUUACUGGGCGUAAAGCGUGCGCAGGCGGUUUUGUAAGCCAGUCGUGAAAUCCCCGGGCUCAACCUGGGAAUGGCGAUUGGGACUGCAAGGCUUGAGUAUGGCAGAGGAGACUGGAAUUCCUGGUGUAGCAGUGAAAUGCGUAGAUAUCAGGAGGAAUACCGAUGGCGAAGGCAGGUCUCUGGGCUGAUACUGACGCUCAUGCACGA